rnacentral:sRNA from 1 species
UGACUUAACACGGUGGUAUUCUUCAUGC